ensembl:lincRNA Gm38004 predicted gene, 38004
AGUCGCCUACUGAGAAGGGUACGGAGAAGCUGAGCAGGCCUGCGUGAUCCUCAGAGCCGGAUAGUCUGGACCAGCGUGGCACUUGUCCCUGAAUGGCUCUAAUGACUGACUUGCUGCCCUGGAAGUCAACCACCGCUGCGCCCUCCUGGACCUUCUUCGUUCCUCCUCGGUUGCUUUUAGCCUUGAAACUUCCCGGGUCCACAAGAACAACUUGUUCAACCACACAGAAAAAGUUCCCUUCUCUUAGGGACAUAAACACAGAAUACAUCUCAAAAUCGACCAUGUUUUGGCCUGGCUGCUGGGGAAUUUAGGCUAAAUCUCUGAAAUAUAUGAACAAGCUGUUUGGGGUCUCACUAA